AAAGAUAGUUGGUUAGCAGCACUACAGCACUAAGCUCCUUACUUGUCAUAUUUCAUUCAUUCAUUCAUUCAUUUUCCAUGCCGCUUUUUCCUCACGAGGGUCGCGGAGGUGCUGGAGCCUAUCCCAGCUAACUCGGGGCAGUAGGCAGGGGACACCCUGAACUGGUUGCCAGCCAAUUGCAGGGCACAAGGAGACAUACAACCAUUCACGCACACACUCAUACCUACGGACAAUUUAGAGUGUUCAAUCAACCUACCAAGCAUGUUUUUGGGAUGUGGGAGGAAACCGGAGUUCCCGGAGGAAACCCACGCAGGCACGGGGAGAACAUGCAAACUCCACACAGGAAGGCCGAAGCCCGGGAUUGAACCCUUGAUCUUAGAACUGUGAGGCAGACGUGCUAACCACUCAGCCACCGUGCCGCCUUGUCAUAUUUAACAUAUUUUAUUUUUUUUCUAUAUAUUGAUUUGACACUUGAUUUUGUUGUAGGAGAGACUAACUCAGAUGCAAGUUCAAAUGGGCCUUCUGGUGCUUAAACUUAUUCAGGAGGUUGAUGCAAGGUGGAACAGCACUUAUCUCAUGCUUCAGUAAUUAUUGCUGACUGUUGGAAGUAUUAGAGCCGUUUAACUAUGCUACAAUUGAGCUGUCUGAGGAGAAGGUUUCCUGGUCAAAGGUAAUUCCGCUCUUGUCCAUGUUGCAUCACUCUCUGGAAGAAGAGGAGAUACGACUGCUUCAAACUCCAGAGAGCACAUCCUUGGUUGAGUUUCUGCAAAGAUAACUAAGAGAGAAGCUGAACAACCUCCAGUCUAUGAGCAUUAUAUUUCUGGCUACUCUGCUUAACCCAAGGUUUAAAAAAAACUAGGCUUCUUUAGACCCAAUACAGCAGCGGAGGCUGAAAAAAGGCUCACGAUGGAAUGCGCAGCUAUUAUGAGGCGCACAGCGUCCUCAUCUACUUCAUCAUCAUCAACGUCAUCAUCAUCAGAAACUUCCCACUCUGUUGGAGGAAGCAAACUGUGGCAUCAUUUUGAUACCUCGAUCCAUCAAGCAAGAACCACAAAUGUCACGGCUAAUGCAAAAGUUGAGGUGCAAGAAGUAUCUUGGAGCACCAAACAUCCCCAGAGUUGAAAGUCCCCUUCAGUACUGGGAAUCACAGAAAUAUACGCUUCCAAUUCUAUACAAACUUGCUAUCUCAUAUCCUUGCACCCCUGCUUCAUCAGUACCAUGUGAAAUAAUUUUUUUCUAAAGCAGGUGAAAUUCUCAGCAAAAA